rnacentral:rRNA from 1 species
GACGAACGCUGGCGGCGUGCUUAACACAUGCAAGUCGAACGGUGAAGCGCCUUCCUUUUUGGUGGGUGUGGAUGAGUGGCGAACGGGUGAGUAACACGUGAGUAACCUGCCCCCUUCUUCUGGAUAACCGCAUGAAAGUGUGGCUAAUACGGGAUAUUCUGGGUCUGUCGCAUGAUGGGUCUGGGAAAGAUAUUGUUUCGGUGGGGGAUGGGCUCGCGGCCUAUCAGCUUGUUGGUGGGGUGAUGGCCUACCAAGGCGGGGACGGGUAGCCGGCCUGGGAGGGUGGACGGUCACACUGGGAGUGAGCCACGGCGCAGACUCCUACGGGAGGCAGCAGCGGGGAAUAUUGCACACUGGGCGCAAGCCUGAUGCAGCGACGCCGCGUGAGGGAUGGAGGCCUUCGGGUUGUGAACCUCUUUCGCCAGUGAAGCAGGCCUGCCUCGUUUGUGGGUGGGUUGACGGUAGCUGGAUAAGAAGCGCCGGCUAACUACGUG